UACAGAGGUGGCAAGCGUUGUUCGGAAUCACUGGGCGUAAAGGGCGUGUAGGCGGUCCGCUAAGUCUGAUGUGAAAGCCCGAGGCUUACCCUCGGAAGUGCAUUGGAGACUGGCGGACUGGAGUCCCGGAGAGGAGGGUGGAAUUCCUGGUGUAGCGGUGAAAUGCGUAGAUAUCUGGAGGAAUACCGGUGGCGAAGGCGGCAUCCGUGGACCAUUACGUGACGCUGAGGCGCGAAAAGCUAGGGGAGCAAACGGGG
rnacentral:rRNA from 1 species